rnacentral:lncRNA from 1 species
AAAUAAUAAAAUAUGUUAGAAGGGAGAGGUUAAAUCCACAGGGCAAGAGCUGGACUAAGGCAAAGGGGAUUCUUGGAGUCAUGAACAUAGACGACAUACGUUAUCAGGAUUUUGAGAUACUUCUCGAGGAGGGAAAGAUCAAGGUUUAUGACUGCAACUUAUCUGCCUUGGACGAGGUUGAUUUUUUUACCUCUAUGCAGCCACUAUUGGAGUUGUU